rnacentral:pre_miRNA from 1 species
GCAACAACAUUAGGACCGUCGGUCUACCGAGCAAUAUUAGCCGCUCGGUGGAAGAUCUUCCCUUUGUCGUAUAAG